AGCGAACGCUGGCGGCAGGCUUAACACAUGCAAGUCGAAGGUGAAGCCGGACUUCGGUCCGGUGGAAACUGGCGCACGGGUGAGUAACGCGUGGGGAUAUGCCCAAGGGUACGGAAUAACCGCUGGAAACGGCGGCUAAUACCGUAUGUUCCCUCAGGGGGAAAGCUUCGGCGCCCUUGGAUUAUCCCGCGUCCGAUUAGCUUGUUGGUGAGGUAACGGCUCACCAAGGCUCCGAUCGGUAGCUGGUCUGAGAGGACGAUCAGCCACACUGGGACUGAGACACGGCCCAGACUCCUACGGGAGGCAGCAGUGGGGAAUAUUGGACAAUGGGGGCAACCCUGAUCCAGCCAUGCCGCGUGAGUGAAGAAGGCCCUAGGGUUGUAAAGCUCUUUCAGCGGGGAAGAUGAUGACGGUACCCGCAGAAGAAGCCCCGGCUAACUCCGUG
rnacentral:rRNA from 1 species